ensembl:lncRNA
CUAAGAUUGCCAACAAAUCGCUGGAAGCUAGGAGGCAAGGAAGGAUUCCCCUACAGAUUUCUGAGGGAGGAUGGCCCUGCCAACAGCUUGGUCUCAGACUUCUAGACUCCAGAAAGCAGUUUUAGGAGAGGGAGUAAAUCCAGUCUCUUGUUUCUUCAUCUCGAGAGAAAGCAGAAAUCUGUCCUGGAGUACUCUGGUGUGGUGCUACCACGCAGAUGCGUGCUUCUAGGACAACCUGCAGAGGCUCUGAGCUAGGAUUCCAGAGACGCUGAAAUGAAGACGACACAGUCAUCAUCUGGUUGGGGAGAGAGAUACAUAAAACAAACAGAAGAUAAUGUGGCAAAUACAUUCAGAGAUAGACUCAGGGGAAAGUCCUUCCUGCACGUGCCAUUUCUCACAUUCCUUCAGCUUGAAAUAUUCAAUAUGCCAAGGUGCCACAUUUUGGAGGAAUGUGUCCUGAACCCCGUGAGAAACCAAAGCUGAGCGAUCCAGCCAAGAUUCAGGAUCCUUCUCUGAAGUGUUCCCAGGACACCAUUUCUCAGCCGGUUCCUAUCAAAGUGCCAGCGGGUGUUUGUUACCAGGAUACUAACUCCCAUACGGACUUUAAGGUGCUUCAGCUGCCCUGCCCUGGGGGAUCCAGUUCUACUGCGGAGCUCCUGGGGGUCCUGGAUGGGCUGGACCCUGAUCCUUCUGGACAGCUGAGAUCUAACAGGUGUGCGAUCCUUCACUGAAGCCCAAGGAAAGCAGAUGACCUUGGGCAAGUUAAUCCACCUCACUGGGCCUCACACCCAUAAAGCCAAAAGGCUCUGUUUUUAUAUAUCUAUAAAAGAAAUUUUAAGCACUAGGCUAGAUGUUGUCAAGGGUCCCUUCCAGCUUUCAGGAGCUAUUCCAUAUCUUUCUGAAACCCAGGAAGGAAGGUUGUCAGGAGUCCAUUCUGAGUCAGAGGCCAGCCUUGACUUCGUAAUGAGGAUUUGGAAUCAAUUUUCCAAAUGGAACUAAACCAGUAGCCUGCUCACUGGCAUAAAGCCUUCUCACCCUGGAUGGAAGGAGAGUUGGUCACAAGGCCAUUUGUAGCUCACAAAAAUUCCCACCAACUCAGUAAUCUACAGCACCAACCACACAGAGCCUAAAUUUAGCUUCCCUGAAAAGAAAACUUACUUUACCAAAAAUUAUAUUUGGAAGUCUUUGUGAGAUAGACUGAUUCUCCCAAAUCAGUUCAGAACCAGGCAAAAAAUCCUUGGUCUGAGAAUUAGGAGGCAAAUGAAAUUGUGAGGAUUAAGGAGCAAAGUGAAUAUGCCUUAAGUAUUCACUAAGCAAGUGAAUAUCCCUUUGAUUUCUCUCACAAGACCCAAGAUGGUGGAGAGACAAAAGGGAGGGCCAGGGGUGGUCUGAAGCCACCUCAAAGGGCUCACAGAGGUAGGGAUGGUCUCUACUCAAUUCUUCCAUCAUUGCUGAAAAACCGAAGGUGCCGAUCGUGUCAGGAUCCAGAGAGAAGUAACAGAAGGAGUAAAUACGCUGAGCCAGGAAAAAGCCCGGUGCUCUAAAUGCAGAAAGGCCAGAGUGGCUCAAGCAAAGUGAAUGGAAGGACGAUGGAACGAGGCUGAGAUGAGAGAGGCCAGCAGGCCCAGAUCCUGUGGGGUUCUGAGGCUCAGGGGAGGGGUUCGGGAGUGCGUGUGCAAACACACAGGGGUGUGCGUGUGUGUGUGUGUGUGUGUGUGUGUGUGUGUGUGUUUUGAGAGAAAGGAAUGAACGUGAUCUGACGUGUUUAAAAGGUCGCUCUUGGGGAUAAGGGUGACCAAUUACGAGACCAUAAAAUAAACCAGGCAGGAGGUAAAGAUGACUUGGGUUAGGGUAGUGUUAAAAGAUAAACUGAGGCAAAUUUAAAAUUUUAAGAGUUUAUUUGAGCAAAAUUCGAUUAUUCGAAUCAGGCAUCAGCAAACAGGGAGUAGUCAGGAGCACUCCACUGCCAGGCACUGAGGAGAGACCUACCGAGAGAAGGCGGGAGCAAACCAAGGAAAUCAUUGGCUCAGCUCAAAGCCUAGCUGGCUGUUUGUGAUUGGUUGUCCUUAGCGUUUCAUUUUUGUAACCUUGAGCCAUUUACGGGCUCAGAUUUGGGUUUGCUGAUAUAGGCCACCACAGCAUGACAGCCCCCUCAGUCUAGUGGCCUCUGGUUUAAUUAAUUUAACAGUAGCUACAGUGGGAGAGGUGCCAAGGGGGCCUAUUUGGGCAAUAGCAUGAAAGUAGGUAACAACAUUAUGUUGUAUAUUUGAAAGUUGCUAAGAGAGUAAAUCUUAAAACUUCCUAUCACAAGGCAAAAAAAUUUGUACCUCUGUGGUGUGAUGGAUGUUAACUAAACCUAUUGUGUUGAUCAUUUUGCAAUAUAUACAUAUGUCAGAUCAUUAUGCUGUACACUUAAAGCCAAUACAAUGUUAUGUGUCAAUUAUAUCUCAAUAAAAUUGGAAAAAAAUUUAAAAUAAAAUAAUUUCUAAAAGAAAGUAGA